AGCGAACGCUGGCGGCAGGCUUAAUACAUGCAAGUCGAGCGGCCGUAGCAAUACGGCAGCGGCAGACGGGAGAGUAACACGUGGGAACGUGCCCUUCAGUUCGGAACAACCAAGGGAAACUUUGGCUAAUACCGGAUACGCCCUUACGGGGAAAGAUUUAUCGCUGAAGGAUCGGCCCGCGUCUGAUUAGCUAGUUGGUGGGGUAAUGGCCCACCAAGGCGACGAUCAGUAGCUGGUCUGAGGGGAUGAUCAGCCUCACUGGGACUGAGACACGGCCCAGACUCCUACGGGAGGCAGCAGUAGGGAAUAUUGGACAAUGGGGGAAACCCUGAUCCAGCCAUGCCGCGUGAGUGAUGAAGGCCCUAGGGUUGUAAAGCUCUUUCGGCGGGGAAGAUAAUGACGGUACCCGCAUAAGAAGCCCCGGCUAACUUCGUGCCAGCAGCCGCCGUAACAC
rnacentral:rRNA from 1 species